CACCCACCAAGACAAAUUUCUGCACUUUCCCAAAUCUUCUACCAUCUACUCUCCUCCACUCAUUACAGGAAGCAAAAAUGAUCCUGUGGCUAAACUUGGUGUCCUUACUCGCAAUCCUCAGAGGUGUCCAAUCUGAGGUUCAGUUGGUGGAGUCUGGAGGGGAUGUGAGAAGACCUGGAGGGUCCCUCCGUCUCUCCUGCCAAGCCUCUGGCUACAGCUUUGCUGGCUACAGCAUGGAUUGGGUGAGACAGGCUCCAGGGAAAGGACUGGAAUGGGUGGCAUACAUCCGCUAUGACAGCACUAGUAUUCACUACUCAGACAAAGUGAAGGGACGCUUCACCAUCUCCAGGGACAAUGCCAAAAGCCAGCUGUAUCUGCAAAUGAACAGCCUCAAACCAGAGGACACCGCAGUCUAUUACUGUGCAAGACACACAGUGAGAGGAAGUGAAUCUGAAGCCAGACAAGAACCUUCUUUUGCUCAGAGCAAGUGGAUUCAGUCACAGAAAUUUGAAUUUGAGUCUUUCAAAUUGAGGAGUAGAUUAUCAAUCUACAUCAUAGCUGUAGAAUAUUCCAUGGAUCAGUAG